CAACAAAAAAUAGUAUUUGAAAUGUUCGAAAUAUAUAUAUGUAUGAUCAUGAAUGUGAAAUUUUAGUAUACGCCAUUGUUUUUGAGUUUCUAAUUCUCGCGGGGAAUGAAUGAUCGACUUGCUCUCCAAUUCGCUCAUUGUUCUCCAUCUCUAAGCCAUUUCCCUUCGCUUCGCAUACAAAUCUACUUUACGUUUCAGUUUCAGCUUGCGUUUACUUUCUCUUUCUGUAUUGCCUACUCUUCUGUUUUUUCCGGCUCCGGCCAAUAUCUCCGAUCAACGCAUCGUCGAAUUGUAGAAUGUCGAAUUCCAUGUUGAAUGAAGCUGAACCGAAGGAACUGCGCGAUGAGUCCGAUUUUGAAGUCAUCUUCUCCAACAGCGACUAUAUUUCCGUUUGUGGAUUUGGUUCUCUCCUCUCUGAGAGGAGUGCUCGAGGUACCUUUCCUGAACUGAUCAACUUUAGAAUGGCCAGAUUGAACGGCUUCAGACGUUUUUUCGGACAUGUAGCUCCUAUAUUCUUUGAGCGCGGCAUUGCUAAACCUGAAACAAAGUGUUUCACGACGUGCUAUUCAUCUGAAUAUCAGGAGAUUUCCAGCUUGUGUUCGGAGCCUUGCGAAGGAGAAAAUAUCAUCAUUACGGUUUUUGAGAUUAAAAAGUCCGAGAUUCCAGCGUUUAUACAGAGAGAGAUUGAGUUUCGAUUUCUUAUUGUUCUUCCUGAAACAUUAGACGGAAAGAUAUAUGAUAAACCAGCGGUGCUUUGUUCACGGUACACCGAUGAGGAGUUUUUCCAAGUGAGAUGCAAAGGGAAUAAGGACAUUUAUUUUCAUCAUUACGGUCGUCGUAAUAUUGAUAAGAUAUGGAGAGAUGACAUCUUACCAUGUCGCGUCUAUCUUCGACACUGGACAACCCUUCGUAAAUAUUUGACCAGUUACGGUUCAGGCAUUAUGGAAGAGGAGCCUCCAGAAUCCAUCAAGUUCCGGUAUGAUGGUUGAUAUUGUUGAACAAAAUCACUGCAAAGGCUUAUAGAUCCUUGAAAGCUUUGAGAGAUAUUGUGAGUGUUCUGCCAAUGGAGAUUGAAUGGUGGCUGCCUCCUGCCAUGAAGAUACAUGAGCCUGGCAGCCUCAUUUUGGAAUCCAAACGAGGCAUAUAAUGAUCAUUAAUCAUUGUUCUUGAGAGACGCAGCUUACUAUACAAUUCUCUAGGUGUCUCGUAUAUCCCAACUAUUUCCUGCAUACUCUCGUCCUCAUCGUCCUGAACUAAAUUAUCAGAAUUCGGUGAGGGAGUUGAAACAAUAUGCAUCGUUUUCCCUGGAGGAUAGAAACGAACAUUUUCCGAAGCAUCUAGAGAAGACAAUGGCUUUUCACUGCUUCCCUCGACAUCAGUCAACAUACUCUCCUCUUCUUCCUUGAUCUCCUUGGCUACUGUAGCCACUUUGCCUUCUCGAGUAUUGGCAUCGACCUUUCUUUCCUGUCGUUGCAGUUCCUUCUCCAAUUCAUACCACAACUCACCAUCUGUAAUGUCUUCGACAUCAGUCGAGGCGAUGAUUCUUUCUUCAGUAAUGAGGUGGUGUCGCUCUUCAUCUGUGUCAUGAUCUGAAUUAUCGUCACAUGAAGAGCUGCCAGACUCUGUCUUCUUUUUCAUUUCUAUUCCAUUAAUCGUAACUUCUUCGGAUAUGAGUGACUCGUGAUUUCUUUCCGUUAUCCGAGGAACUUCAGGCAAUUCCUCUGUGGGAUUGGAUAAAAUGCCACCGUUUCUUCUACGGGCGCCCAUACAAGACCAGGAAGAUAGAGAAGAGCGAGUUCUGACAACUGCGCUUUUCACGGCAGCCUAAAAAACAAUGUCAAUCCUAAUGUUAAAUCAAACAACAAAGCGUUAGAAAGAAGGAAAAAUAUUUCCAUUUUGAUGAAGAGAGAAACCUGGGUGGUAGUUGAGACUGGGCGGAGGAGGGCGCCGGCACCAGCAACCUUAGCUUUGGCUGUAGCAAUGGAUGGAAGGCGUGAGCCUAGAGCACUUGCGGAGCGAUAAACAACGUUGAGAACCCUUGUGCGCUCUACCUGAUCUCGUAAAUCAUUCAGCCAUGAUGAUGCUGUCACCUGAUCAUUAACCAAUCGUAAUGAUAAUAAUACCAUACAAGAAAUUAGAAAUUAGAAAUCAUGAUGUUAUACUUUUACGAUAAUAUAUUUCAAAAAUUUAUAAAAGCAUCAUCAAAAUGUGUGGAAUCAUUUUGCAUUUUGAAAGAUUAUCCUUUUAUAAUACUAAUGGGUUAUUCGUUCAUCAUAGUUGGAAGAAGAAAAUAAGAAAAGGAAAGAUGCAGCUACAACCCAAACAUAAAUAACAUUUAUAGAAAAAAGAAAAAGAAAAAGAAA